UGGCUCAGACGGUAAAGCAUCUGCCUGCAAUGCGGGAGACCCGGGUUCAAUUCCUGG
rnacentral:tRNA from 1 species